rnacentral:rRNA from 1 species
GAAAGCGGUGAUAGCACGUUAAAUGCACCAGUUCCCAACGGAUCACUGAAGUUAAGCAACGUUGCGCAUUGUUGGUAUCCGGAUGGGUGACCGUCUAUGUGAUCACGUACUUCCUCGU